GGCAUAUCCAGAAGAUGAUGACUUCACCAGCGUUGCAAAAGCACUGAUUAGCAAGCACCCCUGCCUUACAGAGCCUGGUCUUCAGCCAGGAUGGUACGGCUGGAAAAACAGCCUUAAAUUUAAGAUGGCGAACUAUCGCACAAAGCUUCGGAAAGUUGGAUUUGAAGAUGUAACGGUUAAUGGAGGUAAACGAAGUAAAGCCAACCCAGAGGGAGAGUACUCAAGCAAGAAUGUGAAGCGACCAAAAAGAGGUGAAGCAAAUUAUCUGCCCAACUUUCCUGAUGGACAUGAUGAAAUAACCCUUGAAAAUGCAAGGAAGGUCAUGGCAGAUGAAAUAAAGAAGAAACUGCCAGAUGCCACUCUCAUCUCACAGUUGAUGGAUCUGACAUUUCCACUACGUAGGCAAGAGAUUGUAAAAGAGGCACCUGCUGUACAGAACAUGGCUGAACGGUAGCCAGGUCUUUUCAAAGAGAGACAGAUAUUUGCUGAGUUCUUUAGAAUUACCAGCAAGAACCUAGAGGGAGACUUCUUUGAGACUUUGGACCAGCUAACCCCACAUUUUAUUGAAAUAUUCAAGUCCAAAAAAGGAACUACUGGGCAGAAACUGACCAAGCUAUUGCAGGACUGGUUUUACUCAAGAUGUCACUGCACUGCAUUCUGUUGUCCUGAAAGGCAUUCCAAUCAUUCUUGGUGAUGACGCCACUAAAUGUUACAAGACGUGCUUUGAUACCGAGAUCAAUGAGGCCCUGGCAUCAGUUACAGUUGGUGUGCUGAGUGUUCUGAGUGAAGACGAUCCCCCGCAGGGUUCAAGCUCAGUCUAUCUCCCUCCUACCUCCACUGCCAUUGUCAUUGAGGGAAAUCUGGUCAUGGACAACAUUAAAGACUUCCCUCAGGCGGUUUGCCUAUUAUUUGGACUUACCUAUGCUUUACACUUGGAUUACCCAAAGUACAUGACACAUACACUCACAUUUAUUCAGACAGUAAUGCUUGGUUUGGGAAACAAAACUCUUUCUCCAAAACUGCAAAGCCUCAGAAACAGUCUAAUGAUUUAGAUAACCCAGUAGAUUACUUGUCAGACUAAAGCAAAUAAUCAGCGAGGAGUCGUCAGACAGGAUUUGGCAAUUGUUUUAUUCAUUAUUGUAUUCUUGUGAUAUACUUUGCAAAAUUCAUAGCUAUUUCCUCUAAGGUGAGGUCAGGCUGGCUUUACCAGUACAGUUCAGUUCAAUACUGGUAAAGCACUUGUUCAUAUUUAAACCUUUAGCACGGAAUUCAAAGAAGAUGGCAGCAUUUGUGACCACAAAAGUUGAUUCCUUGCCGUUUUAAAAAGAACAAAAGAAACAAAGGAGGCCAAAAAUAUGUGGCUAGAAAAGACUCAAAUGUUCUCAUGUAUGCUUUUGAAUUGAAGCAAAUCCUUAAGUUUUGUCAACAGUCUAAGGUUUGAUGUCAUUUUUGAUUAUGGUUAAUGGUAACUUUGUAAAACAAAAACAUCUUAAUAGCAUUUUCCAUUUUGAAAGCAAAUGCACAUAAAAAUUGAAAGUUGAUUACAAUAAUUCUUUAGCAGUACAGCGACUGUUUAGUACCAGGUUAUCGGGGCAUCUUGUUCACUUGUUGUACUUUGGUUAGUAGUACUUGGGAUACUGGGGUUAGUUUUUCUGAUUAGUACAUCUUUCUUUUCGUGUGCAAGUAAUGAACAUGUUCUGUUUCCUUGUCUACAUUAGAACUGGUUCUGCAGUUAAACGUAAAACCACAAAUCUUUUUUUUUGUUUUGAUUUUUAAGCCAUUUGAAAAAUAACAUUUUGUCUUUACAUUUAGACUACGUUUUCAUCUGAACAAUAAAUAAUUUGGUAGUUUAACUUGAAUUACAAACUCAUCAAUAUGAACAACAUAAAUUUGAUUUCAAAAUGCCUAGUAAAUGUAAAAACAUGAAAAAUAAUUUUGAAUAUUCUGAGGUUAUUGUUUACAUUUUAGGUGAAUGAGGAAAAAAAUGUUUUAAUUGGAUAAUCUUAAAAAAUGCUGAAUUUUAACAGCUAUUAUGGUGAAAGUGUAAUUAUUUAUUGUUCAGUACAUAUACAUAAUUGAAUCUUGGCUGAAAUACAUCUUGGCACUUGAAAAUAAAAGUUCUGCCUUUAACUAAGUCUGGUGAGUGUUUAAGUGAUGUGCUAGAACUUUCCCUGUGUGUGGUAAACCUGUAAUAUAUUGAUAUAUAGAUAGUAAU